AAAAAAAAAAAUCAAAUUUUUAUGUAAUCAUAACUGUCUUUUUCUGUAGGACAGCACUGGACUGAAAUUGUGGAAAAGAAGAUGGUUUGUUCUCUCCAAUUACUGCCUGUAUUAUUAUAAAGACAGCCGUGAGGAGUCUGUCCUGGGCAGUAUUCCUCUUCCCAGCUACAGGAUUCUAUGCUGCUCCCCUAGAGAGUGCAGGAACAGGAAAUAUGCAUUUAAGGUUGUUCAUCAAGGGAUGCGGCCGUACAUCAUGAGCGCUGAAACCCAGGAGGACA